UUGACCUCAAAUCGGGUGAGACUACCCGCUGAACUUAAGCAUAUCAAUAAGCGGAGGAAAAGAAACUAACNAGGAUUCCCCUAGUAACUGCGAGUGAAGCGGGAAAAGCUCAAAUUUAAAAUCUGGUGGNCUUUGGCCAUCCGAGUU
rnacentral:rRNA from 1 species